rnacentral:rRNA from 1 species
UGUAAAGGAAUCUGCCUUCUAGUAGAGGACAUAAAAAUAAAUACUCUAUAUAAUGAAAGAUAAAGAUCGCUAGAAGAGGAGCCUUUAUAGGAUUAGGUAGUAGGUAGGGUAAAAGCCUACCUAGCCAAAGAUCCUUAGCUGGUCUGAGAGGAUGUACAGCCACACUGGGACUGAAACAAGGCUCAGACUUCCACGGAAGGCUGCAGUAGGGAAUUCUGGACAAUGGGCGAAAGCUUGAUCCGGUGAUACCAGAUAAGUGAAGAAGGUUAAAUCUGUAAAACUUGAUUACUAAAGAGGAUG